UACGUAGGGCGCAAGCGUUGUUCGGAAUUACUGGGCGUAAAGCGCACGUAGGCGGCUUUGUAAGUUAGAGGUGAAAGCCUGGAGCUCAACUCCAGAACUGCCUUUAAGACUGCAUCGCUUGAAUCCAGGAGAGGUGAGUGGAAUUCCGAGUGUAGAGGUGAAAUUCGUAGAUAUUACGGAAGAACACCAGUGGCGAAGGCGGCUCACUGGACUGGUAUUGACGCUGAGGUGCGAAAGCGUGGGGAGCAAACAGG
rnacentral:rRNA from 1 species